AUGAUCCGGCGCGGCAUGCCGCCGCCGCUCGCGCUCCUGCUCCUGCUCGCGCUGCUCGGCGCGUUCGCCGCGGCGCAGCAGGAGGGCAACGUGCCGGAGCAGUACGCGGCGUCGCUGGCCACCCGCUUCGACGCGCCGGCGGGCUGGCCGUUCCCGAACCCGCGCCUGCGGGCGGCCUACGCGGCGCUGCAGGCCUGGAAGCAGACGGCCAUCUUCUCCGACCCGGCCAACUUCACCGCCAACUGGCAGGGCCCCGACGUCUGCCGCUACAACGGCGUCUACUGCGCGCCCGCCCCCUCCGCCGCCUACCACGGCGCACCACUCACCGUCGCCGGGAUCGACCUCAACCACGCCGACAUCGCCGGCUACAUCCCCGCCUCCCUCCCGCUGGGGCUCCCGGACCUGGCGCUGCUGCACCUCAACUCCAACCGCUUCUGCGGCGUCGUGCCCGACACCUUCCGCCGCUUGCGCCUGCUCCACGAGCUCGACCUCAGCAACAACCGCUUCGUCGGCGCCUUCCCGGAGGUGGUGCUCGCGCUGCCGUCCCUCAGGUACCUCGACCUCCGCUUCAAUGACUUCGAGGGCUCCAUCCCGCCGGCGCUCUUCGACCGCCCGCUCGACGCCAUCUUCCUCAACUCCAACCGCCUGCGCAACCCCAUCCCCGCCAACCUCGGCAACUCGCCGGCCUCCGUCGUCGUGCUCGCGCACAAUCGGCUCGGCGGGUGCAUCCCGCCCUCCAUCGGCAGGAUGGCGGACACGCUCAACGAGAUCGUGCUCAUCGACGACAUGCUCACCGGCUGCGUCCCGCCGCAGGUGGGGCUGCUGAAGAAGGUGACGGUGUUUGAUGUCAGCGGCAACCGGCUCCAGGGGGCCCUCCCCGCGGCCGUCGGCGGGAUGGCGGCCGUCGAGGAGCUCGACGUCGCCGGGAACCUCUUCGAGGGCGCCGUGCCGGCCGCCGUCUGCGGCCUCGCCGGGCUCAAGAACUUCACCUACACCGACAACUUCAUCACCUCGCGCCCCGGCUGCGCGCAGGCCACCGCCGACGGCGCGUGGAACUGCAUCCCCGGCGCGCCCGCGCAGCGGCCGGCGGCGCAGUGCGCCGCCGCGGCCUCCCACCCGUUCGACUGCAGCAAGGCGCAAUGCCAGUUCCCGGCGUACACUCCUGCCACUCCCACCACGCCCGGUGGUGGCAAGCCUUCCAGCCCGUCCUACCCGUCGCCGCCGUCAAGCACGACCACUCCGUCGUCCCACUCGCCUCCCAAGGGCUCCGGCACGCCGGCAUACCCCUCGCCGCAUCAGGGAUCCACCACCCCGUCCUACCCGUCGCCACCGUCGAGCUCCAGCACCCCGUCAUACCACUCGCCACCCCAGGGAUCCACCACGCCAUCGCCACCAGGCUCGACCACGCCGUCGUACCCGACGCCGCCGUCCAGCUCCAGCACCCCGUCGUACCACUCGCCGCCCCAGGGAUCCACCACGCCAUCGCCACCCGGCUCGACCACGCCGUCGUACCCGACGCCUCCGUCGAGCUCCAGCACCCCGUCGUACNNGACGCCGCCGUCCAGCUCCAGCACCCCGUCAUCCCACUCGCCGCCGCAGAGCACGCCGGGGACCCCGUCGUACCCGUCUCCUUCGUCAGGCACCCCGAUGCCAGUAGGAGGCCACGCGCCGCCUCCCCCAACCUCGGCCGACAAGCCAGACGGGCGGUACGCGCCGCCUCCGGGCUCGUACGGCCCCACGACGCCCUCCGGCAGCCACCAGACGCCGUCGCCGCCCACGGAGUACCCCGGCUACGCGCUGCCUCCCCACUCGCCGGGGACACCAGCCACCACCACGCCUCCAUCAGAGACGCACCCAGGCACCCCGUCCUCGCCGUCGUCGGGAGCAACAACGCCGUCCACGCCCGAGCACUGCGCGCCGCCGUCCCAGGGCGGCAGCACCGGGCACCCGACGCCGGCCGGCGCGAACCUGCCGUUCCCGCCGGUGUACGGCGUGGCAUACGGGUCGCCGCCGCCGCCAAUGAAGCCGUACAACUAA
rnacentral:rRNA from 1 species